GGGGCCUCCUCUUGAUGCACGACCGCAGGCACUUUUCGCAUACGCUCAGACAGUGACAGACACACCGAUGCCAAGGUGGCAGCCACCGCAGACAGCAGCCAUGGGCGCCGGUGAUAAGGGCAGCUGCCAUGCUACUCCACUCACCAAAGCCGGUGCCUCUCGGUUUAACGUGGUCUUCCGCCGGAGCAGCGGCUCUCGCCAGCAGCGGGCGAAGCGGGAGGGUGCGCUUUCCGUCGCCCACGACGUCUCCUACUUGUACGACAAGGACAACCGGGAGUGCGUGCUGCGGUGCAAAGCGGUGGGGCAGGCGCCGAACAAGAUCUUCAUGUGCAUGCAGCGCGCACACCGCGGGGCGGACUGGGUGGUGGGCACAGAGCUGAACCUGUGCGGGUUCGACAUACUGGUGGAGGAGGUCAUGGAGCUUCACUGUAUUCCGUACGAGGAGGCCGUGGACGCCGCGGACGCCGCGGACAACAGCUCAGAGGCUGGCGCUGGCGGUGACCUCAUAACCUGCUGUGGCACCAGCGCUCAUACCGCUUCCGCGGCAUCCUAUGCGCAGACCCUCUCCACCGCUGCUUCUGUAGACCCUGGGAGGGGGCACACAACUCACGCGCAGCCGCGCUUUUCUUUUCUGCCGCGCCAGACUUCUCAGCACUUCGUCACGACUACGCCGUCACGGGCUACGCGCGACAACGGCCCGUCAUCACCGACGCCGUUGGAGGAUGAGGAGGCGUCAUCAAUUUGUGCUCCACAGAAGUGGCCUACACUGAAAAUGGAUUCGGUGCCUGUUGGUACUGCACUCACUGCACACCACCCGACGGACCCGCCACCACCAGCACCUCGAGACGAGCGUGGCGUCGACGGCAGUGUGUGCCCAAAUUCUUGCCCUCCUCACGAACGUCGUCAGCGCCGGCGGCGUCGCUCAGUCGCGUCCCUGGCACGGGAGCUGGAGCGGUGCUAUCCUGAGUAUUUUUGAGGACGUCCUUUCCGCACUGCCGCCCGCCCCCUCCCUCCCCCAGGUACUUCCAUCACACGAGCGGGAGAGUGCCUGUGCCCGGAUCGACGUUUUCGCCUCUGCUUGUUUUGUUCUCUGUGCAACGCUGCUUCACCCCUAGUUUGCAUCGAUCUCUCUGCUCUUCUUUGCCGCUGCUGCCACUUUUUGAAGAGAGCUGCGCCAGACUGGCAGGAUGCACUAAAGCAACUGCUACAGCACAAGGCGUCAAGAGAAAGCGAGAAAUCGAGAACAACGAAAUUGGAUGUGAGCGAUCCACCUGCUCACCGUUGGCUUUGCUAUGCGACGACGUGCAUGUGCGUGUGUGUGCGUGUCGCGGUGUUGAGCACCUGAGCAUCAUCCCUGAUGGUCGUGCUGGUGGUGGUGGUGGUGGUGGGGAGGCGUUGGGUACUAUCCAGUCACCAUCUGUGCGUCCACGGUAGUGGAUAUCCUUCUUCGUAGUAGUGCCGCAUCUUCCAUCUUGUGUUGGUGUUGGCGGCCACACACACACACACACACACACACACACACACACACACACACACAUGCCCAUGCAUGAAUGCUGGCGACGCCAUGAUGCUGCUUCUUACAUCAUCUUUCCACCACCUCGGCUCUUUCUUUUUUAUUCGCUAUUUAAGGCGCCAAUGCAACUUCCGUAACUUCGUCCACGAAAUCUUCUGCCCCCCCCCCCCUUCUCUCCGUUACAACAACUUUUCACACACACACCCCGCACGCGCAUACAAAAAG
rnacentral:misc_RNA from 1 species